GAAGAGGCAGGGGUGAUGCAUGUAGAUGUUUUACAUGUAGUGUAGUAAUAGAUACAGUUGUUAUAGCAAGAUGCAUGUCUAAGAAGAUGCGCGUACGGGCAUUUGCAGCAGCUAGCUAGCAGCCAUGAUCAUGUGUGUAUACAGUUAAUUAGUGGAUCUGCACGUCCUCUUCGAGAAAGCCAAGAGGCCACCAGCCGCCGGUGUAUCGUCGGAAGCCGCAGGCAUCGAGGGCGGAGGCGAACUUUUUGAGGCCCGACGUUUCCGGAGGGUUGAAUUUGCUGAUUCUGUUGUACAUCUCUUUGUAGCACAUGAAGUCCACCUUGAUGUCCGUUAUCACGUUGGAAAAGGCCCAGCUCCAUGAUGGCCAAGCCACGGCCUGCUCCGGCUGGCUCAUCAGCACUAGCCACGCCACCGCCGCCACCGCCAACCACCCGCUCCUCUUCGUUGUCGUCAUCCUCUUCGUAAGUAGUUGAUCCCCUCCUCGAUCCCUCCCUGUUUUUUUUUUUCUUUUUCGAUUACUCUAUAAUUUAUUGCUCUCCUCUCUCUGCCUUUUUAGGAUUGCGGCGCAUGCCAUUUUAUAGACACAGUUUGGUAGUAGCAAGCAAGUUUUAUACUUAAGUUACAUCUAAUGCCAAUAUUUUCAUAAUCCUGCUGAAGAUAAAUUUUUGUAUUUGAGUAUGACAUAAUUGUUAUGCUUGCGUUUGCUAUUAAUUAAUUAAGCGAUACGUAUUGUUUUGCAACAAACAAAAUUAAUUAAAUGUCGGUUAGCUUCAAAUACAUGCUUUUAACCUAAUAAAAAAAUUUAGCUCUUUUGCAAACGCUUGGAAACUUUAACAUUAGCAAAUUAAUUAGAUUUCUUAAAUUUUAUUAAAUAGUUGAAUACAUAGGCCUCUCUCCCCACUUGAAUUGCAUUCAUUGUCCCUUUAAGUCGAUAUUUUGAAUAUAAUCUUAUAGAAAUAAAAAAUUGAAGUUAGAUUCAUC
rnacentral:lncRNA from 1 species